AUUUAAGGAGAGUGCAGGCAAUAAAACAAGCUGCAGUUGCAUGGCAGUCCUGGUUUGUGUAUUGUCUCUGUGUCUGACCCACUCCCCUCUUGUUACACUUUACUAUCAACAAAAUAUAAGCUGAGAUGAUAGAAUAGGUGCAAAGAAAUAUUUCCUCCCCUUGAGCAGCUGACAGCAAAAGAUGCUUCUUGUGAAGGUGUGAAGAUUCUGCUUCUGAAAAUGCAUGAAGGCACUUCACUUGGCUGCCCUUAAGACUCAGAGAGAAGCAGAUUAAACAAGAAAUUCACUUUUAUGAAGAGCACUAUAAUACUUAAGCAUCUGGAUUAUUUCCUGGAGUCAUCAAAAACUUCUAACUGAGCAUGAACUGCUUUCCAAGCUCCAUGGCCUUCUGUACUUUCAGACACUUGAUGAACUGAGAGAGUAAAGAUGGAGGAGGAGUGGGAAAUCUUCAAGGACUCUGAAAAGGAUAUUCCUAAUGUGACAUUAACAGGACUGCAAAUGGUGACUCUUACACUGGCAAUACAUUUCACAUUAUAUAAACACAGUUGCCAGGCAUACUUUAAUAUAUUAGAACUGUAACAAUCUAAAUGGACUCUAAGAUUCUCAAAAUCUGUACUGUGUUUUUCUCUGUAGAGAGAUUCUUAGCAUGCUGUUUUGCUAUAAAUAAAAAAUACUGGUUUAACUAUAGAAAAGCACCAUCUAUGAACCCAUAAAGAAGCCCAAACAGGUUCCUCAAAUAUGAAAACUGCCUAGCAAUGAAGAGGAUGAAAAAUACUGAACUGAACUGAAACUGUACAUAACUGUAGUUAUGUAGAAUGUAACUACCCAAUUUGGAAGGAGGCCAGAGAAACACAAGACAAAUUCUGCCAUCUGUUGCAGUCAUACCAUCUCAGUAAAACCAAUUGGCACAGUUUGGCUCAACACUGAUUCAACCCUUUGAGCCAUGGAAAUUAAUCACUGCAAGUGGUCAAUACCUUGGCCUUGUGCCUCAUUUGGAGGAUUAGACAUUCAAUAGAUUAUCUUUAAACAACUGACUCUCAUAGAAAUCCUCCCAGUCUUCUAAACAGUGAGAAUCUUGAAUUACCACCAAAAAUACUUAAAGUAUGACCUGCCAGGCUGGAGAUGUUAGAGGGUAGAACAUGCUAUCACAUCUGAAAUGGACUAUAUUUUAUACUGGUAAUAGUUCUUUGAAGAAUUAGAAUUCUGUAAGAAAAGUAACCUGUUAUUUCUAAGUUGGUUUUGUCCAUUGGUUUGUAGUCAGU